rnacentral:lncRNA from 1 species
UAAAAGCAGGUUCAUUUUUGUACAUCGCAGGUAGGCAACCGAUAAUAGGCCAUGGUUUUGGACCAGGAGGUAAUUGUUGUCGCAAUAUGGAUUUUUCAUCUUGAGAUAGUGGUUUAUUGGAUUUUAUGAAAUAAAUUAGUAGUAAGGUCAUCGUUCCCAUCAGAAUAGUAAUGAAUGAGAAGCUGAAUGGAGGUGUGGAAAAGCCAAUGGCUGCAAAGCCAUAGCAGUUCUCCAUUGGCUAAACUACAUGCACAUUUCCAUGUAGUAAAUGAAUUUAGAUGAACACUAGUAGUAAAGUUAAAGCCAUAACUAGUUGGGCUGUACCUCAAUCAAAUAUAUAAUAUUUGAAGUUUUCUUGGUUUGGCGUUUUCAUGUUAAAUCAUUUUAUUUUCUUCUUCUUGAAAUGGAAAAUAGUUGUUAGCUAUAUUUCUUAUCCAUUUAUCAUCAUGUUUAACAAAGUUGUGACAUAAUGAAACAAGAAAAAUUUUCUUUUCUUUAAGAUAUACAGCAACGGUUUGACAAUGAUUGUGAUGUUUGAAACAGAUAGAACAAAAAGACAAGAUGCACUUAUUGAUAACCUGCAAGACAUGUUCCUAAUGUUUAUGGAAAUAAUAAUAUGAGUAAAAGAUGAGGAUAUUCCACGCUACGUUCUCAGUAAUUAGUGAUAAGAUUGGUAAAAUAAGAUCGAUAGAAUUAUUAUUGAUAAAAAUAGUUGUGUCAUAUAGCUUCCACUUAUUAAAGGAAAAAACAACUAAAUAAAAAAUCUGAUUUACUGAAGCUUUUGAUCCACACAAAAAAAUAAAAUAAUAAAUUCUAGUAACUAGUUGAUAUUAUUUUUAUUUUUAUCCAUGUUUAAAAAACUCAAAUUUGCAUCAGAAGCCAACCAAUUUUUCUUUCCUAGUAACAGCAUUAUUCUAAUGUAAUUAGUUCUACUAUGAGUAGCAGCAAUUUGGACCAUUUGAUUAAAUAAGCCGACCAGAGAACAUAUUUCCGUAAGGAAAAAUAAUGAUGAAAUAUAGGCAAAACCUAUUAGAUUCCGAUUUGUGGGGCCAUCUAAGAAUGCUAUUUGGAUUAGCUUGAAGCUUUAUUUCACACCAAAAAUGAUGAUCAUGACGUUGGUGAAGGGAUGUUUGCUAGCACUUUUGUGCAACCAUUAGAAUAUGAUCUUUGUAAAUUUCUUGCUAAUUUUGAUAGUGUUCACCUUGAUUUUAUUGUAAUCUAUAAAGUUCGCAAGGCCGCAAAAAUUGACAAAAGGAAGGUUUUGAAACUAAAAGGAGAGUGUUUCUAUUGGCCUGGAGGGAUUAUUUUAUACUCUUUUCAAUUGGUCUGAUGCAAGAUCAGGAAUUCAAGAACUUCUCAUUUGAUCUAGGAGUGUGCAUUGAUCUAGUUGCACUUGAAGAAAGAGAUACACCAAUAUGUUUAUAGAGUAAUAAAGAUUCAGAUUUGAGGAUAAAUCAUUUUCCAAAAAGGGGUAUGAUGCGUGUCAAAUAAUGGAAAAACGACGAGCUUAUGAUGGUCAUGAAGAUCUAAUGCUAAUUAACAUGAUCCAAACAUAUGAGCUUUGAGUCUUUUAAUUAGUUUUAUAUUUUAACUAGCGUAAUUGGCUUUAUUUAAAUUGGGCUUUUUGUUUUAUUUAAUUUUUAGGGUUUCUUAGCAUAUAUAUAUAUACUUAUCAAAGAUAGAUGAGUUCUCUUUGGUUCUUUAUUAAACUUGUUUUCGAAUUUAUCAAAGAUAAUUAAUUUUUGUGGCAUUUAUGCUUUCACCGUAAUAUCUUUGAUUCAUAAUUCUAGUUGAGUACCAUCAAAGAAGAAAUUCCUAACGGGGAAUUAUGGAUUCUAAUUUGGGAUUUAGAGUUCUUAAUUUGAGAUUUAGAGUUUAUAUAUCAAAUUUGACGCAUCACAACACAUGAAAUAAAAGGUUACUUAUGGAAAUCCAUACAUCUCCUUUCUUAUUGAUCAUGCAUGAUUUGGUCAUAUACGUGCGCAGGCAAUCGCGGCUUCACAAGUGCAAUCAAUGGCUUAGCUAGUGCUAAACUACUCUCGGACUUUGUAAGAUCGAUACUUGUCUGAUUAGGAGGCACGAUCCAAGUAAAUUGUUGGAGUAUGUGGGUAAUCCCAUAUUGGAUAAAUACAAUUAAGUAAAAGGGCAUAUAAUGUGAAGGGUGAACCACCCAAAUGGCUUAGGCCAUUUUGUGUUAAAGGUAAGCCCAACUCAUUAUAAGCUCAAUAUUAAGUAAAUAAUUGAAUUUGAUUCGAUUAAUUUGCUCCUAGGACCCAGAUUCUCAACAUAGUAUCAGAGCCUGAGAUCUGAACCUGUAUGAGGGAAGUUCCCGUGUUGGGUCGUACCCUAAUGGAUCCAUGUGUUGGGCCAUUGUAUGCUUGUCAAGUGGGUAGUCCCACUUGAGGGGGAGUGUCAGUGUUGGGUCGUACCUUGAUGGACCGAUGUGUUGGGCCAUUGUAUGCUUGUCAAGUUGGUAGUCCCACUUGAGGGGGAGUGUUGGAGUAUGUGGGUAAUCCCACAUCGGAUAAAUACAAUUAAGUAAAAGGGCAUAUAAUGUGAAGGGUGAACUAACUAAAAGGCUUAAGCCAUUUUGUGUUAAAGAUAAGCUCAACUCAUUAUAAGCCCAAUAUUAAAUAAAUAAUUGAAUUUGAUUUGAUUAAUUUGCUCCUUGAAGAAGUCUGGCAAAUAGCAUCAAAGCCAUCGAAGUCCCCAUUGUCACCCCUGGACACCCCCGUCUUCCUGUGCUAACUGAAAUGAAAUUCAAAUAUGGAUCAAUAAGUGUCAGGUGAGACCCAUCGUUCUUGAUAUGGCGUUCUGGUUUGAACUUGUGAGGUUCAUCCCAAAUCUUAGGGUUCCAGCCAAGACCCACUCUGCUUAGUAGAACAUGACUGCCUUUUGGAAUAAAGAAGUUUGCUACUGUUGUAUCAGUCAUGGAGACAUGAGGAACAUUGAAUGGCACGACGGGGUGGAGGCGAAAGGCUUCUCUUGCGCAUGCAGUGAGUAAUUAAGCUGUGAAAGAUCGGAUUCUUGGACUAGUCUCUCCUUUCCGACAACUCUAUCCAAUUCUUCUACUGUCUUUUCAAGUAUCUUCGGUUGGUUUAUCAUCUCCGCAAUUGCCCAUUCAACCGCAUUUGAUGGGUUAUCUACUGUUGCUAACAUUAUUUCCUGCAAACAUCAUCGCAUUAAUUAAUUAAACCAAUCUUUGGGGUUGAUAGAAAAGAAGAAAAGAAAAUUAAUCAGAUUACCGUAAUUUGAGCUUUAAUCUCUUCUGUUGAUAGCAAAGGAUUGCCAUUAUCAUCUUUUAAAGUAUUUUAGAAUAUCAAGCAAGUCCUCUUCUUCCUUCUUAGUUCCAUCCUUCCAUUGUUGAACUCUGUCUUCAAUUAUAGGAUCAUGAUAUUUUCCUAUAAUCCCAUUAGACUCUUUAAUAAUCUUCUCAUGACCAUCCAAAUCAAAACCCGCCAAGCAUGGUAAAUAAUCAGACAAACAAAAUGCAUAUAAAUGAUGAAGAACUCUAAAAAUAGCAUCGAUAUGCUCUUCUUCUUCAAAACCAGGUCCAACAUUCUUCCUUCCCUUUCCAAAAAACCUCUUAUUAAACAUCAUUUUCCUAAUUACAUUUCCACAAUAGUGUUGGGCAGCAACUCUCACAUCCACUAAACCACCUUCAUUACACUGAUUAUACGCAUAACGGACUAGGUGAUUUGCUUCUUCUACUCUUGUCCCGUAAAACCGCCGCUGUUUCGUCGGAGAAAGCAAUUGGGUCACUAAAACUCCCCUCAUUUUCUUCCAUUGGUCUCCAAAAGGUGCAAGAGUUGUUGUUAAGUAGCCUUUUGAAGUAAAACGAGUAGACAUGCUUAUGGGUCGGGUUGCAAAAUUAGCAUCUUGAGCUUUCAAGAUUUCACAGCUAAUUUUGGGGCAAGUGACUGGUAUUACAUGAACGUUCCCAAGACGGAUACAUGGAAUUUCAGUAUUCAUUUGUUUCAUGAGAUUGUGUAUCCAUCUAAAAGCAGAUUCGUUUUUGUACAUCGCAGGUAGGCAACCGAUAAUUGGCCAUGGUUUUGGACCAGGAGGUUAUUAUUGUCGCAAUAUGGAUUUUUCAUCUUGAGAUGGUGGUUUAUUGGAUUUUAUGAAGUAAAUCAGUAGUAAGGUCAUCGUUCCCAUCAGAAUAGUAAUGAAUGAGAAGCUGAAUGGAGUUGUGGAAAAGCCAACGGCUGCAAAGCCAUAGCAGUUCUCCAUUGGCUAAAC